AGCGAACGCUGGCGGCAGGCCUAACACAUGCAAGUCGAACGAACUCUUCGGAGUUAGUGGCGGACGGGUGAGUAACACGUGGGAACGUGCCUUUAGGUUCGGAAUAACUCAGGGAAACUUGUGCUAAUACCGAAUGUGCCCUUCGGGGGAAAGAUUUAUCGCCUUUAGAGCGGCCCGCGUCUGAUUAGCUAGUUGGUGAGGUAAAGGCUCACCAAGGCUACGAUCAGUAGCUGGUCUGAGAGGAUGACCAGCCACAUUGGGACUGAGAAAGGGCCCAAACUCCUACGGGAGGCAGCAGUGGGGAAUCUUGCGCAAUGGGCGAAAGCCUGACGCAGCCAUGCCGCGUGGAUGAUGAAGGUCUUAGGAUUGUGAAAUCCUUUCACCGGUGAAGAUAAUGACUGUAGCCGGAGAAGAAGCCCCGGCUAACUUCGU
rnacentral:rRNA from 1 species